GGAAGUAAGAGUCGUAACAAGGUUUCCGUAGGUGAACCUGCGGAAGGAUCAUUAAUGUAACCGGACCGGUCCUCUGCCGUCAAACGCAGCGGAUGGGAAAGGGAGAUAUCAUACACCCCUAUGUUUAUUUACUUUUGUUGCUUUGGCGGGCCGUCCUUUUAGGCGUCGGCCCCGGCUGAUCGCGCCCGCCAGAGGACCCAAGCUCUUUUAUCAGUGAUGUCUGAGUACUAUAUAGUAGUUAAAACUCUCAACAACGGAUCUCUUGGUUCUG
rnacentral:misc_RNA from 1 species